CUACGGGAGGCAGCAGUGAGGAAUAUUGCACAAUGGGGGGAACCCUGAUGCAGCAACGCCGCGUGGAGGAUGACGCAUUUCGGUGUGUAAACUCCUUUUAUAUGUCAAGAAAAUGACGGUAGCAUAUGAAUAAGCACCGGCUAACUCCGUGCCAGCAGCCGCGGUAAUACGGAGGGUGCAAGCGUUACUCGGAAUCACUGGGCGUAAAGGACGCGUAGGCGGGUUGGAAAGUCAGGUGUGAAAUCCUACAGCUUAACUGUAGAACUGCACUUGAAACUUCUAAUCUAGAGUAUGGGAGGGGAGAUGGAAUUAGUGGUGUAGGGGUAAGAUCCGUAGAUAUCACUAGGAAUACCUAAAGCGAAGGCGAUCUCCUGGAACAUUACUGACGCUAAGGCGUGAAAGCGUGGGGAGCAAACAGGAUUAGAUACCCCUGUAGUC
rnacentral:rRNA from 1 species